rnacentral:lncRNA from 1 species
AGGUGGUGGCCCACAUCUUUUUCCGAUCCCAGGACACUGAGGCAGGCAGAUCUCUGAGUUCAAGGCCAGCCUGGUCUACAGAGCGAGUUCCAGGACAGCUAGCGCUACACAGAGAAACCCUGUCUCAAAGAAACCUGUUUCAACAAAACAAAAAUGAGCAAGGAGCAAGCAGACAAGGAGGAAAGGCUUCCCUCUUCUAUACUUUUAUCCGGGCUGCCAUGGGAAGGUGCAGCCUAGGUUUCAAGUGGGUCUUGCUUCAAGUCAUCUGAUAAGAAGAUCCCUCCUAUUUUUGUAGUCCUGGGGAUUGAACCUAGGCUAAGUCCUCUGGAGGGCUGAGCUGAGUCCCUGCACAGUCAAGUUGGCAGCCAAGAUUAGCCAUCACAGUGUGUCUGCACAGUAUUUAGCAAGCUAGCCCAUUUUUUCAUUUCUGUUGGCUAUGCUCAGGCAAGGAUUCCAGGGACUUACUGCUUUUCCUACCAAUACAAAGGAUUUCCUCCUCUUGGACUCAAUUUUCUCAUCUGUUAUAUGGCAAUAUGAACAGAAGGUAACUCACGUACGUGGUCAAGUAAGACUUCGUUAGCAGGUCAAAGCAAAGCCUGUCUCUUUGUUUUUGUAGUACCAGGGAUUGAACCUAGACUAUAUUCCC